GGGUGGUAAUGCCGGAUGCUCCAGUUGACCGCAUGGUCCUCUGGGAAAGCUUUUGCGGUAUGGGAUGGGGUCGCGUCCUAUCAGCUUGAUGGCGGGGUAACGGCCCACCAUGGCUUCGACGGGUAGCCGGCCUGAGAGGGCGACCGGCCACAUUGGGACUGAGAUACGGCCCAGACUCCUACGGGAGGCAGCAGUGGGGAAUAUUGCACAAUGGGCGCAAGCCUGAUGCAGCGACGCCGCGUGCGGGAUGACGGCCUUCGGGUUGUAAACCGCUUUUGACUGGGAGCAAGCCCUUCGGGGUGAGUGUACCUUUCGAAUAAGCACCGGCUAACUACGUGCCAGCAGCCGCGGUAAUACGUAGGGUGCAAGCGUUAUCCGGAAUUAUUGGGCGUAAAGGGCUCGUAGGCGGUUCGUCGCGUCCGGUGUGAAAGUCCAUCGCUUAACGGUGGAUCCGCGCCGGGUACGGGCGGGCUUGAGUGCGGUAGGGGAGACUGGAAUUCCCGGUGUAACGGUGGAAUGUGUAGAUAUCGGAAAAAAAACACCA
rnacentral:rRNA from 1 species